rnacentral:misc_RNA from 1 species
GGAACUCCUUGUUGCGAAUGUGCAGAUACGGAUAAGCCGGUGGAUCGGGGUAGUGAGCGUGGCCCUUGGACAGGAUCCAGGCGGAAAGCAGCGUGCAGGUCACGAUCCCGGCGUACGUUAUCUUCUCCCAUUUCGCCGUCUCAUAGGCAUCAUCGUGGGAGGCAGAGGAGAAGCGGUUCUUGGAGACGAGGAGGGGAUUGGAGGGGGUGGAGGCCCGGCGGAAAGCUCCGGUGAGACGGAGGCCGGAUCGCGCCGCCAUUGAGGACGCCAUGGAUGGUGUGCUCUCGCGGAUUCAAGG